rnacentral:lncRNA from 1 species
UUGCAUCUUCCGCCUAUAAAAAGGGGACUCCAGAUAUGUUAUUCUCUAAGCUCUAAUUUCUAUCUCAAAACUCUGCUAAAAUUUCUGUUCGAGCACUCCAUUCUUGUUGAGGCAGAGAACUGACUUGAGCGUUGGAGGGUCUUGCCGGAGUACCCCCAACUCUGAUUUAGACUUCCUUUGCAGGUCCCGGCGGUGACCGCGACUCCCUCGACUCCAGCUUCUCCAACGCCGGCGGAUUUUUGCACCAACAAGGUCCAUU